rnacentral:lncRNA from 1 species
GACUUUCAAGUUUCAUGAUCUUUUCUUAAUACUUUAUGUGAAAAAAAAUAAUGGGAUUUAAAAAUCUAUCAAAAAGCUUCUGUUGUAGGCCAAUUUUGGCUCAAAUACAACCCAAUUAUUCAAACCCCUUAAAACCCAAUACAAAAUAGCCCAACUACUAACCCUAGCCCAGACCAAUAAUAAAAAAUAGCAAAGAAAAAAAGAACCCUGGCCACCCCGUGAUGUUUGCCACCCCACGCCUCUGCAGCACCAUUCCCAGGCAUCACACACUCUCACCAACUCCUCCAUACCCUGCAAAAUGAGACAAACACCAAGACAGAAGCUGACAACACAAGAGCAGUAGCAAGAGGCUUAAAAUAUCGUUUUGAAAUGGCUAUAAGAGGGAGAUCCGAUUGUAAAAAUUGGGGGGGAUUCAAUAUGCAAAAAUUGUAUCACGAAUUUUGGCAAAUCAAAAGCAAAAAAAAAGCACAUAAAAAAGGUUGAAUUUUAUUUCCUUUUUUUGUUUCUUUAUUUUUUAUUUUCCUUUUUUUCUUCAAAAAAUCAGUUUUAAAACAAAAAAAAUAAAAAAAAGAAGAAAGGGGAUUUACCUGAACUUCGGAGCCGCGACAUCGGAGCCCUACUCCGUCGUUGAAAUCGGCUCUCAAAAAGGAAAAUGGGGGUCUCUCCCUUCAGAUUUUCGGGCUAAGAAAAUAGGGCCUUCAGGCGCCCCCAAAAUCGGGGUCAAAAGCCCCCAUUCAAGCAACCCCGACCACCACUUACGGUGGCUCCAUGGCGGCGGCAAUGAUGGGUAUAAACCCUAGCAAAAGGGGAAAUGAGGGAGAGAGAGCCAAGAAACUCUCUGUUUUUUUUGCUUUUCAAAAUGGGGGCUGGAAACACAAAAUAAAAAAAAGGGUUUUAAGUUAUUU